rnacentral:sRNA from 1 species
CUACAUCCAAAGAAAGUGACCGUAUG